rnacentral:tmRNA from 1 species
GGGGAUGUACCGGUUUCGACGGGGGUAGAUGGUGUGCGAUAAGCGAGCUGGGAUCCCGCCAACCCCAUAAAACGGUGGAAACGCGUUAUAAACGCAGACGAUUCUUACGCUUUAGCAGCUUAAAUUGCUAACGUCUAUAGACGACACUUGCAGGAUACCUGCCUGCCAAUUCUCGGAGGCUGACAGGGAAACUCAUCGAGAUAGCACGUUCCUUGGCCCGUCUGCAGGCAAAGGGGCUGCGAAACAAAAUAUGCAGUCUGCGCUCGGAGAAGUUCGCAUGGCAAUGCUUUCGGACAGGGGUUCGACUCCCCUCAUCUCCACCA